AGCAAUGCCGCGUGAGUGAUGAAGGCCUUAGGGUUGUAAAGCUCUUUCGCACGCGACGAUGAUGACGGUAGCGUGAGAAGAAGCCCCGGCUAACUUCGUGCCAGCAGCCGCGGUAAUA
rnacentral:rRNA from 2 species